rnacentral:rRNA from 1 species
UUGCAACAAACCCCGACUUAUGGAAGGGAUGCAUUUAUUAGAUAAAAGGUCAACGCAGGCUCUGCCUGUUGCUUUGAUGAUUCAUGAUAACUCGUCGGAUCGCACGGCCCUUGUGCUGGCGACGCAUCAUUCAAAUUUCUGCCCUAUCAACUUUCGAUGGUAGGAUAGUGGCCUACCAUGGUGGUGACGGGUGACGGAGAAUUAGGGUUCGAUUCCGGAGAGGGAGCCUGAGAAACGGCUACCACAUCAGUGACAGCAGCACCUGA